GGUCCCUUAGCUCAGUUGGUUAGAGCGUGGUGCUAAUAUUGAGUCACUCAUAGUGAGGAUUCGAUAUAGUAACGCCAAGGUCGCAGGUUCGACCCCUGCAGGGACCA